rnacentral:rRNA from 1 species
AUUGAACGCUGGCGGCAUGCCUUACACAUGCAAGUCGAACGGUAACAGGGAGCUUGCUCCGCUGACGAGUGGCGAACGGGUGAGUAAUGUAUCGGAACGUACCUUUUAGUGGGGGAUAACGUAGCGAAAGUUACGCUAAUACCGCAUAUUCUCUGAGGAGGAAAGCAGGGGACCUUCGGGCCUUGCGCUAAUACAGCGGCGGAGAUCAGAUUAGCAAGUUGGUGAGGUAAAGGCUCACCAAGGCGACGAUCUGUAGAGGGUCUGACAGGAUGAUCCGCCACACUGGAACGGAGACACGGUCCAGACUCCUACGGGAGGCAGCAGUGGGGAAUUUUGGACAAUGGGGGCAACCCUGAUCCAGCCAUGCCGAGUGAGUGAAGAAGGCCUUCGGGUUGUAAAGCUCUUUCGGCCGGGAAAAAAUCGCAUGGGUUAAUACCCUGUGUGGAUGAUGGUACCGGAAUAAGAAGCACCGGCUAACUACGUGCCAGCCGCCGCGGUAACAC